rnacentral:rRNA from 1 species
UAGGGAAUCUUCGGCAAUGGACGAAAGUCUGACCGAGCAACGCCGCGUGAGUGAAGAAGGCUUUCGGAUCGUAAAACUCUGUUGUUAGAGAAGAACAAGGACGUUAGUAACUGAACGUCCCCUGACGGUAUCUAACCAGAAAGCCACGGCUAACUACGUGCCAGCAGCCGCGGUAAUACGUAGGUGGCAAGCGUUGUCCGGAUUUAUUGGGCGUAAAGCGAGCGCAGGCGGUUUCUUAAGUCUGAUGUGAAAGACCCCGGCUCAACCGGGGAGGGUGAUUGGAAACUGGGAGGCUUGAGUGCGGAAGAGGAGGGUGGAAUUCCGUGGGGAGCAGUGAAAUGCGUAGAUAUAUGGAGGAACACCGGGGGCGAAGGCAGCUCUCUGGGCAGUAACUGACGCUGAGGCUAGAAAGCGUGGGGAGCAAACAGG